rnacentral:rRNA from 1 species
UAACGCGUGGAUAACCUGCCUCACACAGGGGGAUAACAGUUAGAAAUGACUGCUAAGUACCGCAUAAGCGCACAGUCUCGCAUGGGACAGUGUGAAAACUGAGGUGGUGUGAGAUGGAUCCGCGUCUGAUUAGGCAGUUGGCGGGGUAACGGCCCACCAAACCGACGAUCAGUAGCCGGCCUGAGAGGGUGAACGGCCACAUUGGGACUGAGACACGGCCCAAACUCCUACGGAAGGCAGCAG